AUACGGAGGGGGCGAGCGUUGUUCGGAAUUACUGGGCGUAAAGGGCGCGUAGGCGGCUGCACAUGUCAGGGGUGAAAGGCCUGGGCUCAACCUAGGAAUUGCCCUUGAAACUGUGCGGCUAGAGUCCGAGAGAGGAUGGCGGAAUUCCCAGUGUAGAGGUGAAAUUCGUAGAUAUUGGGAAGAACACCGGUGGCGAAGGCGGCCAUCUGGCUCGGCACUGACGCUGAGGCGCGAAAGCGUGGGGAGCAAACAGGAUUAGAUACCCCAGUAGUCC
rnacentral:rRNA from 1 species